rnacentral:rRNA from 1 species
GUUAUAUGGUCAAGUGAAGAAGCGCAUACGGUGGAUGCCUUGGCAGUCAGAGGCGAUGAAAGACGUGGUAGCCUGCGAAAAGCUUCGGGGAGUCGGCAAACAGACUUUGAUCCGGAGAUCUCUGAAUGGGGGAACCCACCUAGGAUAACCUAGGUAUCUUGUACUGAAUCCAUAGGUACAAGAGGCGAACCAGGGGAACUGAAACAUCUAAGUACCCUGAGGAAAAGAAAUCAACCGAGAUUCCCUUAGUAGUGGCGAGCGAACGGGGAUUAGCCCUUAAGCUUCAUUGAUUUUAGCGGAACGCUCUGGAAAGUGCGGCCAUAGUGGGUGAUAGCCCCGUACGCGAAAGGAUCUUUGAAGUGAAAUCGAGUAGGACGGAGCACGAGAAACUUUGUCUGAACAUGGGGGGACCAUCCUCCAAGGCUAAAUACUACUGACUGACCGAUAGUGAACCAGUACCGUGAGGGAAAGGCGAAAAGAACCCCGGAGAGGGGAGUGAAAUAGAACCUGAAACCGUAUGCGUACAAGCAGUGGGAGCCUACUUGUUAGGUGACUGCGUACCUUUUGUAUAAUGGGUCAGCGACUUAUAUUCAGUGGCAAGCUUAACCGUAUAGGGUAGGCGUAGCGAAAGCGAGUCUUAAUAGGGCGUUUAGUCGCUGGGUAUAGACCCGAAACCGGGCGAUCUAUCCAUGAGCAGGUUGAAGGUUAGGUAACACUGACUGGAGGACCGAACCCACUCCCGUUGAAAAGGUAGGGGAUGACUUGUGGAUCGGAGUGAAAGGCUAAUCAAGCUCGGAGAUAGCUGGUUCUCCUCGAAAGCUAUUUAGGUAGCGCCUCAUGUAUCACUCUGGGGGGUAGAGCACUGUUUCGGCUAGGGGGUCAUCCCGACUUACCAAACCGAUGCAAACUCCGAAUACCCAGAAGUGCCGAGCAUGGGAGACACACGGCGGGUGCUAACGUCCGUCGUGAAAAGGGAAACAACCCAGACCGCCAGCUAAGGUCCCAAAGUUGUGGUUAAGUGGUAAACGAUGUGGGAAGGCUUAGACAGCUAGGAGGUUGGCUUAGAAGCAGCCACCCUUUAAAGAAAGCGUAAUAGCUCACUAGUCGAGUCGGCCUGCGCGGAAGAUGUAACGGGGCUCAAACCACACACCGAAGCUGCGGGUGUCACGUAAGUGACGCGGUAGAGGAGCGUUCUGUAAGCCUGUGAAGGUGAGUUGAGAAGCUUGCUGGAGGUAUCAGAAGUGCGAAUGCUGACAUGAGUAACGACAAUGGGUGUGAAAAACACCCACGCCGAAAGACCAAGGGUUCCUGCGCAACGUUAAUCGACGCAGGGUUAGUCGGUUCCUAAGGCGAGGCUGAAAAGCGUAGUCGAUGGGAAACAGGUUAAUAUUCCUGUACUUCUGGUUACUGCGAUGGAGGGACGGAGAAGGCUAGGCCAGCUUGGCGUUGGUUGUCCAAGUUUAAGGUGGUAGGCUGAAAUCUUAGGUAAAUCCGGGGUUUCAAGGCCGAGAGCUGAUGACGAGUCGUCUUUUAGAUGACGAAGUGGUUGAUGCCAUGCUUCCAAGAAAAGCUUCUAAGCUUCAGGUAACCAGGAACCGUACCCCAAACCGACACAGGUGGUCGGGUAGAGAAUACCAAGGCGCUUGAGAGAACUCGGGUGAAGGAACUAGGCAAAAUGGCACCGUAACUUCGGGAGAAGGUGCGCCGGCUAGGGUGAAGGAUUUACUCCGUAAGCUCUGGCUGGUCGAAGAUACCAGGCCGCUGCGACUGUUUAUUAAAAACACAGCACUCUGCAAACACGAAAGUGGACGUAUAGGGUGUGACGCCUGCCCGGUGCCGGAAGGUUAAUUGAUGGGGUUAGCGCAAGCGAAGCUCUUGAUCGAAGCCCCGGUAAACGGCGGCCGUAACUAUAACGGUCCUAAGGUAGCGAAAUUCCUUGUCGGGUAAGUUCCGACCUGCACGAAUGGCGUAACGAUGGCGGCGCUGUCUCCACCCGAGACUCAGUGAAAUUGAAAUCGCUGUGAAGAUGCAGUGUAUCCGCGGCUAGACGGAAAGACCCCGUGAACCUUUACUGUAGCUUUGCACUGGACUUUGAGCCUGCUUGUGUAGGAUAGGUGGGAGGCUUUGAAGCGUGGACGCCAGUUCGCGUGGAGCCAUCCUUGAAAUACCACCCUGGCAUGCUUGAGGUUCUAACUCUGGUCCGUAAUCCGGAUCGAGGACAGUGUAUGGUGGGCAGUUUGACUGGGGCGGUCUCCUCCUAAAGAGUAACGGAGGAGUACGAAGGUGCGCUCAGACCGGUCGGAAAUCGGUCGCAGAGUAUAAAGGCAAAAGCGCGCUUGACUGCGAGACAGACACGUCGAGCAGGUACGAAAGUAGGUCUUAGUGAUCCGGUGGUUCUGUAUGGAAGGGCCAUCGCUCAACGGAUAAAAGGUACUCCGGGGAUAACAGGCUGAUACCGCCCAAGAGUUCAUAUCGACGGCGGUGUUUGGCACCUCGAUGUCGGCUCAUCACAUCCUGGGGCUGAAGCCGGUCCCAAGGGUAUGGCUGUUCGCCAUUUAAAGUGGUACGCGAGCUGGGUUUAGAACGUCGUGAGACAGUUCGGUCCCUAUCUGCCGUGGACGUUUGAGAUUUGAGAGGGGCUGCUCCUAGUACGAGAGGACCGGAGUGGACGAACCUCUGGUGUUCCGGUUGUCACGCCAGUGGCAUUGCCGGGUAGCUAUGUUCGGAAAAGAUAACCGCUGAAAGCAUCUAAGCGGGAAACUUGCCUCAAGAUGAGAUCUCACUGGGAACUUGAUUCCCCUGAAGGGCCGUCGAAGACUACGACGUUGAUAGGCUGGGUGUGUAAGCGUUGUGAGGCGUUGAGCUAACCAGUACUAAUUGCCCGUGAGGCUUGACCAUAUAACACCCAAACA